rnacentral:tRNA from 1 species
ACCGCCGUAGCUCAGUGGUCAGAGCACCGCCCUGAUUAGGCGGAAGCCGGAGGUUCGAUUCCCUCCGUCGGCA